UGAAGAAUUUGUCCAACGGUGGGGGAUAGCCGGCCCAACGGCCGGGUAAUACCGCGUACGCCCUUCGAGCGGCAUCGCUUGAUGGGGAAAGUCGCAAGACGCCGAUGGAGAACUUCGCGGCCUAUCAGCUAGUUGGUGUGGGUAGUGGCCUACCAAGGCGACGACGGGUAGCCGGCCUGGAGGAGGGUCGACCGGCCACACGUGGGACUGAGACCGACCGGCCCAGACCUCCGUAACGGGGAGCAG
rnacentral:rRNA from 1 species